rnacentral:misc_RNA from 1 species
GAUGAAGAACCGUAGCGAAAUGCGAUAAGUAAUGUGAAUUGCAGAAUUCAGUGAAUCAUCGAAUCUUUGAACGCACAUUGCGCCCGCCAGCAUUCUGGCGGGCAUGCCUGUUCGAGCGUCAUUUCAACCCCUCAGGCCCUGGUGCCUGGCGUCGGGGCACUCCCUCGCGGGAGGCCCCUAGAGACAGUGGCGGACCCGCCGCGGCUCCGAGCGCAGUAGUAACUUUCUCGCUCCGGAGGCCCGUGGUGGAGUUUUACCGGCCGUAAAAAUAGGUCUCCGGACCGACCCAAACAAGGUUGACCUCGGAUCAGGUAGGAAUACCCGCUGAACUUAAGCAUAUCAAUAAGCGGAGGA